CGCAGCUGGAGGGACCUGCCCUGGCGAUGGCUUGUUCUCAAGGCGCUGGGGCGUCGAGUCCUAACUUCUUCUUUUUUCCGGGAGUGGAAUUCUCCGAACUCCUCCUCGAAGUCCUGAGAGAGAACAGGGUCUUUUGCGCGACGCGUCGCGAAGCAACUGUCGGACGGGAUGCUUCGGCAAAGCAAGUUGCUGUGAUCGACAGACCCCCCGAAAAACGAAGAAUCGAGCGAAGAGCAACGGGCUCCGGAGCCGCAUCGCUGCUGCGCUCCAUCGAUUGCUUUCGUUUGUUCACACGAGCACGACGAGAAAGCAAUCCCACUCGAAAAGCCUUGCGACCCGAGCGGCGGUGAACACAAUGCACCGAGCGAACGGAGAGAAAAAACGCCCCAGCUGCUCCUGAGUUCGAAACUCGGCACUCUUUUUUUCGUCAAACACUGAAGAGGCAUCGAACCGCAAGUUUCAUGUGUGAACCCUGCCUUAGGGACUUGUGUGAAGGACGAAAGCUGGAAAAGCUGUCGGAUCUCAGUGCGAAUGUGCAGCCAGUCCGAAGUUGCGCGAGGCGUUUCUCGCGAACAGGCUGACGGGGUGCGGACGGCGGUCCGGAACAAAAAGAAGAAACAAAGCACCGUGAAAUUGCGUUUUGGAAGCGAACGGCUCUGAGAGGCAGCGACGGUAUGCGCGAAACCACGGCGCGCGAGUCUCAGGAGCAGCAGCCGCUCUUCAAGCACUGGACACAAAGAUGCGUUUCGACACAGGGGCAGGUCAACCGGCUGUUCUCUGUCGGGAAGCCCACGCUGCGGCCAAGCGAAGUCGCAGACAAAACAAAGAUGUCCG
rnacentral:lncRNA from 1 species